rnacentral:tRNA from 1 species
CGCGGGAUGGAGCAGUUCGGUAGCUCGUCGGGCUCAUAACCCGAAGGUCGGAGGUUCAAGUCCUCCUCCCGCAACCA